UCUCCAGGUCCAUCCAUGUUGCUGCAAAUGUAAUUAUUUUAUAAUUUUUUAUGGCUGGGUAGUAUUCCAUUGUAUAAAUAUGCCACAACUUCUUUAUCCAGUCAUCUGUUGAUGGACAUUUAGGUUGCUUCCAUGUCUUGGCUAUUGUAAAUAGUGCUGCUAU